ACAACAGUGCCAACUGGGGACCAAGUGUUCAAACACAGGAACCUUCUCAUUUAAAGAACCACAGAGGUCAAGCAGUCUUUGGUGCUGGGGCUGAUGUUGAAGGUGUUUGUUGGAUAGCCUGAGACGGUACCACUUGGAGUUUAAAUAGUCCGAGAUCUGAAAGAUGUCAAUUAUGCCAGAAGGUUAGGUGAGGGCUGAAAGGAAAGAGAGUCAUCUAUUGAGCAAACAGCAAGAGUCACCUUUAUACACAGAGCUUCAAGAUGUCUUCUAGAGCUGGAGAGCACCUCAAGACACCUCAAGUACAUUGCCCAAGCCAAUGAAGCGGCACAGCCAGAAUCCAAAGUCACCUUUAUCUGUUUUCCCAAUCACCGUUCUUCCGAAUAUCCACAUGAACAGUAUUAGUUCAAAGAUAAAAGGGCGAGUCUGGGAGCCAUAGAAUGCGCAGGUUCUCCUGUGCAACCUCCAGACAAAGAAUCGGAAACGCUGGGGAAUUUAUUUGCCAGAGGUGCGACAGUCAACGAUGAAAUUCAACCUCGGAUCUUUUUGCUCUAAACACGGAGUGCCCAUUGCCCAUCACUUAUUGCUUGAUGCCAGUGAGUCUCCAGUUUUGCCAGAAAUCCUUUGAACUGUGCUAGCUUCAUGGAAUCCCCUCAUGGAAUCCUAAGGAACAAGACACCGGCGAGGCAGUUUGAAAACACAAAGGGCUUCAGGACAAUUGUGAAGGAAAGCGGAACAGAUCAUUGUACCAACUACCCCAGGGGAAAGCACACCGUGCAAAGAAAUCCCUGAGGAGGGCCGAGUGGAAUACCAUCCCUAGGCACACCUUUAAUCAAACUUCAAAGGAAAGACAGCCCAUUCCCUUUGGAAGCCAUUAUAUAAUGAAGUCAGCCCUGCUUUCAACUCCUAAACUAAUUACUGCAUUUAUUCUUCUUACUUAAUCUAUUCCCAGGUAUUUGGACAGAAUGCUGCUCCUUAUUACUUUGCUAAGACAAACAGAAACCAUAAGUGGCGUUGAUUUGUCCCAACUAGGUGUGCGCAUGUGAAUUUUAGAACUAGCAUUCAGUAUUUGCAAGUAGAGGAAUCACCCUGUUUCUUAAAUAAGACCCAUUACUACACGUAGAGAAGGUUUUAAAAAACUAGAGUACAUCUGAGUAGAUCCAGGUCUCAUAAAGAAAGAAAUUAUUCUGCAAAGACAAGACACAUGACUCUUAAGAUAAGGUCUUACUCCAUGGCUCAGGGGCUAGCCUGGGACUCACUGUGUAGCCUUGACUGGUCUUGACCACGCAGCAGUCACUUGCCUCAGCUUUCUCUAAGUGCCACAAUUACAGGUCCGACUUACUAUAUUCAACUUGGAUGGCUGGGUCUUGAAGCCUUAAAGCCAAACACUGAAAAGUGGACAACAUAUGCAUGCCAUGUGUACACAUAAGUGAGCUAUCACCUAGCACCUGUUUGGAUGGGCACUAUUAAACAUGUAUGUAAGUGUUGAGAAGGAUGUGGGGAGCAGACCCCUGUACACAGCUGACAGGAUGUCUAUCAUUAUUGCUAGUAUGGAAACUCGCGUGUAAGUUCCUAAGAAAUAGAACCUCUACGCGCUGUAACAACCCCUCAUUUGAGUAUGUAGCCAAAGGAAAUGAGAAAAGCAUCUUAAAGAGGUAAUGGCACCCUGCUG
rnacentral:sRNA from 1 species